ACCCCAGCACCGCCGCCGGCCCGCCAUCGCCCGACACCGCCGCCGGCCCGCCCCUCCCCGCCACCGCAGCCCUCCCCCGCCCCUCCCUGCCACCGCAGCCCGCCCCUGCGCACGUCCCUCCACCGUUCCAGGCCGCGGCGCUGCCCCCUCCCCGCGGCCCUCCUGGCCACCGCGGCGUGCCCCGCGUCCCUCCCCACCACCGCAGCCCGCCCCUCCACCGAGCCUGGCCAUGGCGCCGCCCCCUUCCCGCGGCCCUCCCCGCCAUAGCGCCAUCGACAAUUCAGAUUCAGGAUCGACUUCCUUCUCAAUAGUGAAAUUGCUUCUGUUGUUCAAGUGAGAGAAACAUGCAGGGAGUUGUUUGAAAACAACAUCGUCGCCGUCGGGAGGUUUACUGCAGGGAGUUUGGGGUGACCUACCACUGCAUGGACUAUACCACCAGGGAGGCCCUCACUCUGCGAGGGUGGGGAGCUCUUCGACCGGAUUGUUGUGAGGGGGCACUACACGGAACGCGCCACCAUUGUGGUCACCAAAACCAUCAUCAGGGUCGUGUAUGUAAGAAUGGCCCCUGGAUUCCUUCAUUUGCCAUUUGGUUAACACUGUCCUAACAGUAUGCUGGGACACAUUCAUUCUGUGAUUCAUGGUAGAAAUAUUUGUUGGCUAUAUUCCAUUGAAUAGGUUAUGAUCUAAUCUGUGAAGCAAUUAAUUUCUGCAUUUUCUGUUGUUCAUUCGCCUUGUUAGAUUAUCCAGGAUCACAUUUAACUUGGUAGUAUUUAAAUUGCUGCAACUUCACUUUUUUGUCUGUUUAGUGAAUAAUGUGUGUACAUUUGUUCUUUCCUAUACAAUAUCAGAUCUGCCAUAUGCAUGAAGUGGAUGCACCGGGACCUCAAACCAGAGAAUUUCUUGUUUGCAAACUGGAAAGAAACGGUUGCACUGAAAGCAAUUGAUUUUGGCCUGUUUGUUUUGUUUUUCACUCCAAGUAGAGUCAAUCCUAAUAUCCUAUAUGGCUAUCGUUGAAGCUUUCCAUUUUGACCCGUCUGUUACUUGUCGAUAAUAUGGUCAGAGGACAAAGCUGAGCUGAUACAGUAGCCUGUCUUAUGCUAUAUUUUUUUACUUUGUAAUGUUUGCCUAAUGUGCUAUUUGUUUGUGAGGUGUAGGUGAACGGUUCACUGAGAUUGUUGGAAGGCCUUAUUACAUGGCUCGAGAAACUGUGGCCAAGAGGUUGAUGUUUGGAGUGUAGGAGUGAUUCUUUACAUUCUUCUUUGUGAUGUCCCUCCGUUCUGGGCAAUUCAGUUCUGUAGCAUAAGUGGUGUCCGUACAUUCUGGGCAUGUCAUUUUUGGUAGCGUAAAAUAGUCAAUUGUUUCGGUGGCAUAAGUCAACUGCAUUAAACAUUUAGGGUACUUAAAGUGAACUGUGUUCUGAUGUCCUGUCUGCACAAAGCGGCCAUGUGUCACCUUCUACACUGAAGUUUUGUUUUCCUAAUUUUGCCUCUGGCGUGAUUGGCCUGUGGACUUUGGUUCAGAAAAAUAUAUUUAUCUUGUCCCAUUGAAUGCUCUUUCUGAAUAAUAUGUUUGUUGCUUCCAUUUUAUAAUGCAGAAACUGAACAAGGUGUUGCUCAAGCAAUUAUCCGGUCUCUCAUUGAUUUUAAAAGAGAUCCAUGGCCAAGGGUAUCAGAUAAUGUAAAAGACCUUGUCAGGGCCCAGAUCCAAGGAGGCGUUUGACAGCUCAACAGGUUCCUGAUUUUCUUAAGAUCACGUAAGCUUGGGUUGAUGGAGUGCUUGUAUUUAGUUUUUGUUUUGACCUUGUGAAACUUGC